CGCAAGGAAGGACACGUAAAUCACGUGUUCUUGGGAGUUGACGACUCUCCGCCCCCAGUCCCCAGGUCAGGGUAUGACUCCGUGGUGUUGAAAGGACACUAA
rfam:Quang Binh virus, complete genome